rnacentral:rRNA from 1 species
CGCAGCCGCGGUAAUUCCAGCUCCAAUAGCGUAUAUUAAAGUUGUUGUGGUUAAAAAGCUCGUAGUUGAACCUUGGGCCUGGCUGGCCGGUCCGCCUCACCGCGUGUACUGGUCCGGCCGGGCCUUUCCCUCUGUGGAACCCCAUGCCCUUCACUGGGUGUGGCGGGGAAACAGGACUUUUACUGUGAAAAAAUUAGAGUGCUCCAGGCAGGCCUAUGCUCGAAUACAUUAGCAUGGAAUAAUAGAAUAGGACGUGUGGUUCUAUUUUGUUGGUUUCUAGGACCGCCGUAAUGAUUAAUAGGGACAGUCGGGGGCAUCAGUAUUCAAUUGUCAGAGGUGAAAUUCUUGGAUUUAUUGAAAGACUAACUACUGCGAAAGCAUUUGCCAAGGAUGUUUUCAUUAAUCAGGAACGAAAGUUAGGGGAUCGAAGACGAUCAGAUACCGUCGUAGUCUUAACCAUAAACUAAUGCCGACUAGGGAUCGGACGGUGUUAUUUUUGACCCGUUCGGC